rnacentral:rRNA from 1 species
AUUGAACGCUGGCGGCAGGCCUAACACAUGCAAGUCGAGCGGAGCGGCGGACGGGUGAGUAAUGCCUAGGAAUCUACCUGGUAGUUGGGGCUAACGUCCGGAAACGGGCCCGAAUCUCGCAUCCUAUAAGCUGAGCCUAGGUCGGAGUAGCGAGUUGGUGGGGUAAAGGCUUACCAAGGCGACGAUCCGUAACUGGCCUGAGAGGAUGAUCAGUCACACUGGAACUGAGACACGGUCCAGACUCCUACGGGAGGCAGCAGUGGGGAAUAUUGGGCAAUGGGCGAAAGCCUGACCCAGCCAUGCCGCGUGUGUGAAGAAGGUCUUCGGAUUGUAAAGCUCUUUAAGUUGGGAGGCGUUACCAACAGAAUAAGCACCGGCUAACUUCGUGCCAGCAGCCGCGGUAAUAC